rnacentral:rRNA from 1 species
UACGUAGGGUGCAAGCGUUAAUCGGAAUUACUGGGCGUAAAGCGUGCGCAGGCGGUUUUGUAAGACCGAUGUGAAAUCCCCGGGCUUAACCUGGGAACUGCAUUGGUGACUGCAAGGCUUGAGUGUGUCAGAGGGAGGUGGAAUUCCGCGUGUAGCAGUGAAAUGCGUAGAUAUGCGGAGGAACACCGAUGGCGAAGGCAGCCUCCUGGGAUAACACUGACACUCAGACCCGAAAGCGUGGGGAUCAAACAGG